UCCCAGACUCCUACGGGAGGCAGCAGUGGGGAAUAUUGCACAAUGGGGGAAACCCUGAUGCAGCGACGCCGCGUGAGUGAAGAAGUAUUUCGGUAUGUAAAGCUCUAUCAGCAGGAACGAGACAAGACGGUACCUGACUAAGAAGCCCCGGCUAACUACGUGCCAGCAGCCGCGGUAAUACGUAGGGGGCAAGCGUUAUCCGGAAUCACUGGGUGUAAAGGGAGCGUAGACGGCUGAGCAAGCCUGAAGUGAAAGGCGGGGGCCCAACCCCCGGACUGCUUUGGGGACUGUACGGCUGGAGUGCAGGAGAGGUAAGUGGAAUUCCUAGUGUAGCGGUGAAAUGCGUAGAUAUCAGGAGGAACACCGGUGGCGAAGGCGGCCUGCUGGACUGCAACUGACGUUGAGGCCCGAAAGCGUGGGGAGCAAACAGGAUUAGAUACCCCCGUAA
rnacentral:rRNA from 1 species